UUCUUCUAUCUUCUAUAUAUAUAAAAAUGAAUUGCUGUUCGUUAGUCUCGCUAAAACUCGAGAACGGCUGGACCGAUUUGGCUAAUUUUGGUCUUGAAUUAUUUGUAGAAGUCCAGAGAAGGUUUAAAAGGUAGAUAAAUAUGAAAAUGCUCGGAAUUAAAUAAAAAUAACAAUUUUGUUAUUCAUUUGAUGUGUCCCCCGUCGCCGUCGGACGAAUUCCUUUUGUUUGUUUCAAGUUUAUUUUAUACAAAAGUUUAGGUCUUUUAUUUAUUAAUUGAGGCACUACGAAGUCUGCCCGCUCAACUAGUUAUAUAAUAAAAGAGAACUAUUGUGUGGAAGAGAGGAUAAAUAACGUGACGUAAUGGUCAUUAAUAAAUGAUACAAGAUGAAGACGAUGCGUGCAGCAAUUGGUGAUUACAUUGCGUAGUCUGUUCUAUGUAUUUAUUUUUUGUCUUGCCACGAUCGACCGGUCGAUUGCGAUCUACCGUUUGGCCACCCCUGAUCUAGACUACCGUUUGGUAGACUAAUUCGAUAUGCCUUAGACGAAGUUUUUGAGAGCUCUAUAUAUGUUUGGCACUUGAAUAAGGAUUACAGUAGAGGCUAGAUUACAUUGCCAGAGCUUCCGUAGGGCGAUCGAGGCGUCUCUGGCGACGAUGACGAUGUCUCCGCCUACUCCUCCGCCCAUGGACUCCGACCCUGAGCUGCAGGAGGCGCUGGCUCUGUCUGCGAAGGAACAAGCCACAAGAGCUCAGCAAUUGGAGGCAGAACAGCGGGCGCUCGAUGAAGUUCUACGUCUCUCGCUAAUAGACAAAUAACAAGACAACUGAAAAGAUCUCACCAUCCGUGCGUCCAAACCAAAUGAAGACUUAUUCCUACUAAGUUUUAUUGUUAUAUUACAUAAUAAUAUACGCUAAAUUAUUAGCAUAAUAGUAAAACUGUAAUAAUAUAAUAUGAUAUAAUCUAGUUUUUUAAGUAAUUUGACUUGUACGGUUGUAUGAAAAAUAGUUUCAUCAAGGGGUGCGAUUGAUCAUUUGUUUUAAGUAAUUAUAUCUUGACUAGAUAUUGAAAAUUUAAAUUCCGUGUAAAAUACAAUUUUAAGGUAAUGUUUUUACAAGAUAUAUACAUACAUAACUUUUUUUUUUGAGUUUUGAUAGGUAGGCCCAGACGUGGGCGAAGAACGAAAUUAUUUUAUUGUAAAAAAAAGCGUGGGGUGCAUGGUAUCAGUACCUAGUUAUAAAUAUUUUAUGAAUAGAAGGGCUAUUUUAAUAAUAUCCUAAAAAGCACUCCACGCUUUUUUUACAAUAAAAUCAUUUUUUCUUACACCAUUUUUAAUUCAAAUUUAUUAAAAUUUAUUUUCUAUUUUUUAGUUGGAUAUUCUAUAAAAGCGUAAUUUGUUAGUUUUUUUUAAACUAUUAUUUAUUAAUAAAUGAAAUAAGGUGUUUUGGACAAAAAACUGAAGACGAGAUAUUUUUCUUAAAACAGACUGAUAAUCCACUCCACGGUAGUUAUAUCAUAUAUAAUUGACAUCUUGUAUUUUUAUUUUACAGUAAUGGUUACUAUUUAUUAAUAUGAAUUUGUUCUACAUUUAUUACGUUAAUAAAAUUGUUAUAUUCACUC